UCUUUUCAGUUAAACAUCCCGAU
rnacentral:snRNA from 1 species